AGCCUAAACCACCGAGCAAUCGGUGGCAUGGUGAACAAGUCCUCUUAAGUAAAGAACCCAUCAUGUGGGGUCGCUUAAGAGGCCAUAUCAGGAAACUGGUAUGAGUGACUUCGGUCACU
rnacentral:sRNA from 12 species